rnacentral:sRNA from 1 species
GCUGCCGCAAAAUCGGCAGCCGGGCGUGGAAACCCGUGUUUAACUAUGGCGACACAACACGCGCCACGCGUGUUUUUU